rnacentral:rRNA from 1 species
UACGUAGGGGGCUAGCGUUGUCCGGAAUCAUUGGGCGUAAAGAGCGUGUAGGCGGCCCGGUAAGUCCGCUGCGAAAGUCGGGGGCUCAACCCUCGAAUGCCGGUGGAUACUGUCGGGCUAGAGUGCGGAAGAGGCGAGUGGAAUUCCUGGUGUAGCGGUGAAAUGCGCAGAUAUCAGGAGGAACACCAAUUGCGAAGGCAGCUCGCUGGGACGUAACUGACGCUGAGACGCGAAAGCGUGGGGAGCAAACAGG